CUUACUUGUCCGCACGGUACCUAUAUAAUUAUUAAAAUUUUAUACUUACUCAGGCAUAGUCAAAAGUCGAUUUCAAAUAUACUACUUAAGGUAACCAGAUAUGUUAUGUCCAUCUCGUGCAUAGGCAAAUACGAAUUCGGUAGACUCGGUGUCGGCGUGUUUGAACGGCAUAAUAAUUGGCUUGCGGUCCAAUGGAAAAUAGCUGUAGUAUAAUAACGAUCACGAACGUAAAUUAAAUCUAUAAUC